rnacentral:rRNA from 1 species
GACGUAGGGGGCCAGCGUUGUUCGGAAUUACUGGGUGUAAAGGGUUCGUAGGCGGUGUGGCAAGUCGGGAGUGAAAUCUCUGGGCUCAACUCAGAGACUGCUUCCGAAACUGCUGUGCUGGAGUGUGGGAGAGGCGCGUGGAAUUGCAGGUGUAGCGGUGAAAUGCGUAGAUAUCUGCAGGAACACCCGUGGCGAAAGCGGCGCGCUGGACCACUACUGACGCUGAGGCGCGAAAGCGUGGGGAGCAAACAGG